GCGGCCGUGGCGGAAUUGGCAGACGCGCUAGAUUCAGGUUCUAGUGGUCAUUAUGAUCGUGGAGGUUCAAGUCCUCUCGGCCGCACCA
rnacentral:tRNA from 1 species